UUCCUCCCAGGUUGCGGCGGCUCGGCAGUUCAUCACAGCCGUGCUCGGCGGCCGGCUGAUGCUUGGCCGCUAGCCAUAGGUAGUGACGGACGAGACGGUAAGGCGGCAACUAGCAGCCACGUCGCAGGUCUGCGGCCGGCUACGAGGGGUCCCUUCGCCUCUUCACGACGACAUCGACAAGUCCAUGAUGUCGUCUCAAACGGACCCAGGACAUGGCGGGCUCUUGGUUCCCUUGUUUGUGAACUGGUGAUGCUUGUUUUCCUCCCUGAGAUGCCAGCAUCGCCAGAGUAACAUCAGGAUCCUGGCGCGCGUUCCCUCACUUUUUGUGUCCAACAUUACUUGCAGCCAGUUUUCACCUGUGAACCAGAACUUGUUUUCAGCAGGUAGCAUCCAACUCAAGGGUUCUCUUCCAUUUGUUCUCUUUUGUUGCUAGGGUGUUUGUAGCUACCCUCCAUUCAAAGAUUCGUAUUUUCCCUGACACCUUGGAUUUCCAGAUUAGGUCCCAUAUGCUCCGAUCAUUUGGGUCCCUGGUCGAGCUAGAGGGGUUUUGAGCUAGUUGUGGAAGUCCCAUUGCUGCAAGUUUGUAGGCGCUUCUGACCGAAAAAUCGCCAUUUCUCUCGUAAUGCCAUGCUAUGCGGUCCUCCAUGUCCGAGGAUGGGAUGUGAAUUUUGCAAAUCUUGGCUGCAU